GACAGAGGUGCCAAGCGUUAGGCGGAAUCACUGGGCUUAAAGCGUGUGUAGGCGGAAUUGUAAGUACCUUGUGAAAUCCCACGGCUCAACCGUGGAACUGCUCGGUAUACUGCUUUUUCUUGAGCCACUUAGGGGCUGUCGGAACAAACGGUGGAGCGGUGAAAUGCGUAGAUAUCGGAAGGAACAUCAGUGGCGAAAGCGGCUUCCUGGACCAGCACCGACGUUCAGGCACGAAAGCGUGGGGAGCAAACAGG
rnacentral:rRNA from 1 species